GGUAUUCAGCCUGUUCUUUCAAGCCCUGUGACACCUAGUAAAACUGAAAUAGCAGAUGCUGGACCAGCAACAAGUGAAUCCAUUCUGGAAUCUUUCACACCUAAAACUUUGCGUCCUUUUCAUUGGCCAAGCGUAACAUUAGCUCCAAAGGAAAUACCACUUAUUCCUUCUAAACUGAAACCAUCUGCUACCCCAGAAGUACAGCAUGUGAAACCUGGUAAUUGUGCACACCAUUUUUAUAAGUUGGUAGGCAGAGACAUAUGUUUACUAAAAAUAUCUAAGCAAAACUUCCCAAAAAGGACAGGAGCUAUGCAAUA
rnacentral:lncRNA from 1 species